rnacentral:rRNA from 1 species
CCUACGGGAGGCAGCAGUGAGGAAUAUUGGUCAAUGGACGAGAGUCUGAACCAGCCAAGUAGCGUGAAGGAUGACUGCCCUAUGGGUUGUAAACUUCUUUUAUAUGGGAAUAAAAUGUUCCACGUGUGGGAUUUUGUAUGUACCAUAUGAAUAAGGAUCGGCUAACUCCGUGCCAGCAGCCGCGGUAAUACGGAGGAUCCGAGCGUUAUCCGGAUUUAUUGGGUUUAAAGGGAGCGUAGGUGGAUUGUUAAGUCAGUUGUGAAAGUUUGCGGCGCAACCGUAAAAUUGCAGUUGAAACUGGCAGUCUUGAGUACAGUAGAGGUGGGCGGAAUGCGUGGUGUAGCGGUGAAAUGCUUAGAUAUCACGAAGAACUCCGAUUGCGAAGGCAGUUCACUGGACUGCAACUGACACUGAGGCUCGAAAGUGUGGGUAUCAAACAGGAUUAGAUACCCCGGUAGUC